rnacentral:rRNA from 1 species
UACGAAGGGGGGCUAGCGUUGCUCGGAAUUACUGGGCGUAAAGGGCGCGUAGGCGGGUCGUUUAGUUAGAGGUGAAAGCCCAGGGCUCAACCCCUGGAAUUGCCUUUAAUACUGGCGGCCUUGAGUAUGGCAGAGGUGUGUGGAACUCCGAGUGUAGAGGUGAAAUUCGUAGAUAUUCGGAAGAACACCAGUGGCGAAGGCGACACACUGGGCCAUUACUGACGCUGAGGCGCGAAAAGCGUGGGGAGCAAACAGG